ensembl:lncRNA
GAGGCGUCAUUACUGGUUUAAGACGGUCAAUAAGGGUAAUCACGAAUUAGAACGAGAGGACGACUUUGUUACAGUCUGUAAUCACGGAACGUUACGAGCCGUUGUAUUUAAAACGAUAUGAUAACUACGCUGGCUCACAUUUUACCCAUCUUUUUCUUUCUUUUUCUUCUUUCUUCCUCCUAUCGUUUAAUUCUAGCACUUGAAAGUAAAGGGAUUUGGUUAAAGGGACCACUAUGUACAGUACGUACACAGGGAACUAUGAAAUAUGAAAUAUACAUGACACUAGUUAGUUCAUGUACAUACAUGUUACACAUUACAGCUGGCAGUCUGAAAGUACUUUCUCUCUAUUGUGGGAUUUAAUCGCCCGGCCGUUGCUAAGAAACGGACAGCAUCGCUGUAGUGCCGACUUCGUUAAUUCCUCCCUGGAAAGAUGACAUCAUUUGGCGCGUGAUGAGCCGAGCACCGAGAUCCGACGCGUCUUAAGUGGGGAGAAAUGUAUUUCCACGAGUAAGGGCUCGCACAAGCUUAUAAAGAAAAUCCUCAGUGAGCGCAAACGUGUUAAACGGAUCGAUACCCGACCAGUCGGAUUUGAGAAUUACAAUAUAAUGCCGUCGGAACUUUAGAGUCUAGCUAAAAAAAAAAAAAAAAAAAAAAAAACAACCAAAGAAUUGUAGCUAUAAUAAAAUAAGGAAAUAAAUAAAUAAUGCAAUGUAAUCCUGAACGUCUCGGAUAUCGGCUUGACGCAUUUAAGAUGCACACGGCAUUAAGACAGAUUUAGCAAGACCCGUGUCAUGUCCCAUAUUCAAGGCCAGGUUCACAAUCAAAACGUUACUUAACAAAAGAAAAAACAAAACAGCGAUUUUAUUAAUACAAUUAGAAUUUUAAUACAAAUCCUUUUUGACGCAGUUUCUAUCCUGUGUUAAAAAUCGAAAAGCAGAGACGUGAUUGAUCUGUUCUUAGUAUUAAGUAUUACUCUUAUCCCAUUCAUAUACACCGUCCAGACAAAUUUCCCACCCGCCUUCCUUACGAAAAAGACGUCUGUGUGUUAAUAUUUCCCUAAAUAUAUCCUCUCAUCGAAGCUACAAGCUAACAUGCUAAUUCUGGCUUUGUAUUUGUAUUCUUGUGAAAGAAAAGUACGUUUAUUUUUAUCCGUGUCAUGCUUUUUCUUUUUUUUCUUCUUUUUUUUUUUACAGUGCUUUACAAUCUUCAACACUGAGUAAACCAUUACCUCAUUUUAUUACUACGUUACGGUUAUAUUUAACAACGCCACACCUGAGCAAAGUGCGUGAAAUUUCUAAACGACCCAC